CCUACGGGAGGCAGCAGUGAGGAAUAUUGGUCAAUGGCCGGGAGGCUGAACCAGCCAAGUCGCGUGAGGGAAGACGGCCCUACGGGUUGUAAACCUCUUUUGUCAGGGAGCAAGGUGCAGGUCGGGACCUGCUGUGAGAGUACCUGAAGAAAAAGCAUCGGCUAACUCCGUGCCAGCAGCCGCGGUAAUACGGAGGAUGCGGGCGUUAUCCGGAUUUAUUGGGUUUAAAGGGUGCGAAGGCGGAGGCACAAGUCAGCGGGAAAAUCUUUGGGCUAAACCCCGCUGUGCCGUGGGAACUGGGGACCUUGAGUGCGCGAAGGGCAGGCGGAAUGCGUGGUGUAGCGGUGAAAUGCAUAGAUAUCACGCAGAACCCCGAUCGCGAAGGCAGCCUGCCGGCGCGCAACUGACGCUCAUGCACGAAAGCGUGGGUAUCGAACAGGAUUAGAUACCCGUGUAGUC
rnacentral:rRNA from 1 species